UACAGAGGUCCCAAGCGUUGUUCGGAUUCACUGGGCGUAAAGGGUGCGUAGGCGGUCGGGUAAGUCUGAUGUGAAAUCUCACAGCUUAACUGUGAAACUGCAUUGGAUACUAUUCGGCUUGAGAGUUGGAGGGGGGACUGGAAUUCUUGGUGUAGCAGUGAAAUGCGUAGAUAUCAAGAGGAACACCAGUGGCGAAGGCGAGUCCCUGGACAACUUCUGACACUGAGGCACGAAAGCUAGGGGAGCAAACAGG
rnacentral:rRNA from 1 species